CAGUCUUUGCUUUCGGUUCAUUAAAUUGCGUGCAAGUUCAGCUUGUGAUUGAGCUGAUGCAAGGUUGGCGCGCGCUUGUGCUAAUCGUGCAACAUUGUCC
rnacentral:tRNA from 2 species